rnacentral:misc_RNA from 1 species
AAAUGCGAUAAGUAAUGUGAAUUACAGAAUUCAGUGAAUCAUCGAAUCUUUGAACGCACAUUGCGCCCGCCAGUAUUCUGGCGGGCAUGCCUGUUCGAGCGUCAUUACAACCCUCAGGCCCCCGGGCCUGGCGUUGGGGAUCGGCGGAAGCCCCCUGCGGGCACAACGCCGUCCCCCAAAUACAGUGGCGGUCCCGCCGCAGCUUCCAUUGCGUAGUAGCUAACACCUCGCAACUGGAGAGCGGCGCGGCCACGCCGUAAAACACCCAACUUCUGAAUGUUGACCUCGAAUCAGGUAGGAAUACCCGCUGAACUUAAGC